GUUACUUUGGCAGAAUGAGUGCAUUAAAUUUAGAAUUUAAUGAUAUAUAAUAUUAAAUUUAUUUAUAUAAGUAAUA
rnacentral:tRNA from 1 species